UACCUGCAAACAUUCAUUUUCUCGCUGGAUAAGUCACUGUCCCUCCCCGCUGUCAGCCUGGCGCUGGAAGCGUAACCCAUCCUUCUCCAGCCCUAGGAAGGACCCAGUUCAAAGGCUGCACACCAGGCUCCGGGCUGGGGAUGGUAUUACAGUAAUCAGAGAAACCGAGGUCAGCCAGCUUGUAAAACUGCCUGAGCCGGUCGUCUGUGUGCUGCGCUUGCGAGACUGACAGAAAGGUCAGUCUUUCUAGCAAGAAACUUAGUAACAAGAAGAAAAACGAGGCCUUAUGAUGAUCCCAUGACUGGAGCAAAAGCAGAGGCUGCACGACGGUUGCUGCUGCUGGUGGUUGCCCCUCGCCUGCUGCUACAGCAAAGCCUGCGUGCCAGCCAGCUCCCUAAAGAAGAGAAGCCCCGCUCAGACACAGGCUGUGCUCGGUGCAGGUACCAGUGCAACGCGUGGGCGCAGCGAAAAGCCGUCUCGGGUAUUUCACAUCCCUGCUCCUACCUGCCUCCCUCCCUCCACCUCUGCGCCUGUGCUGGUGACUUGCUGAAAGAAAGAAAACCCGAUAGUCGGAGCUGCUUCAUUUUAAAUUGUCCUUUGCAGUGCCUCUCUCACCUACUCCGGUACGUCAAGCAAUUCAAGCCAGGGUUAUAGUGAAGAACAGGAAGGAAAUUUAAGAUGUUGGUCCCCAGCUGUCGGAGCCACGCUGCUGUGGUCCUUCUUCCCCCCCACCCUCCAGCUCCAUGUUCCUGCCUCGUCUCUUGACCCGGCAGCGAUGCUUGAUGCGUGCUGGUUCAGGGGGUAAAACUAGCAGAAAACCGGCAUUAAGAAGAAGGGACAAAUUUCUGCUGGUUGAGCUGAGCAGGCUCAAAUCAGACUGGACAAACUAUUUAACUGCGCUAAGGUGCGUCCUUAGAGCACAGAUAAGGGCCAGGGGCCAUGCAAGGGCAGCGAAGCCUUUUCCUCUAAACCCCUGGAGGGAUAAAUUCCCAUGGCGAAGUGACCCUCCCUUUGCUUCCCAUGGAAAGGAUAACCUUUUUUUUUUUUCUUGGGUGAAUCUGUUUUUGAUUGUGCUUUUCCUCCUGAGGACCAGGGGUUUAUUUUCUUGACAAGUUGAUUUCUCGAAUUCAUUGUGUGCUGCAGGGCACAGAAGAUUUAAUCUCACAAGAGAGAUGCCCAGUAACGUAAAGCAAUGAUGUAAUGCCACCCAGCUCCCCCAUCGGGUCCUCCAGGGGAGAAAUAUCUACCUGAAACUUCUCCAGCUUCUUGACUGAUCAUAUUCAAACUCCGAUUUAUUUAUCUCUCUGUUUUGCAUAUCUCCAUCUGCACCGCUUCUUGCACAUCUCCAUGGAGAUGAAGAAACAAGGCUGGAUAAUGCCAUUCUGGCAUUGCCCAGCCGCUGACACGGGUCCCACCAGAUGCUGCACAACUGGGUGCAGAAACCAGCACCCACCCCAGGAGAUCCCAGCGAGGACCUGGUCCAGCUGCUCCUGCACAGCUGGCCACUAAAGACAGGAUUUCUAAAUGAGCCUGAGAAUUACACAUGCAAAUCCCAAAGGCCUGGAAUUGGGAACAUCUGAGCAACAAUUUGUCCUUGCUAAAGAUGGUGUUGGAGCCAAAAGGCUACAGAUUUCAGGCCUGUUAGACCGGGCAGCAUCCCUGCCUCCAGCUACCAACCCAUCUGCCAGCACCGGGCUCUGCGGUCAGGUUUUGUCCCCGUGGCUGGACAGACAGAUUUCUGCUGCACCGGGAGGCUGCACCUGGUGCUGCCCAGCACCGUGAGUUGCAGAAUUGCUGUUCUGUGCAGGCAUUUGGAGAUCGGGUGCCGUUGCUGAUUUAACUACGGGCCAAAGCCUGCAACGAGGUUUGGUGAACAAACUGGUGGGGGACCGGGGAGAGAUGACUUUACUCGGUAGGGAGAUGACAUUUUAAUUUGACUCAUUCCUGUCUCACUAUGACUGUCUGACCAGCAACGCACGGGUUUUGGUGUGCCAACAGCCCCUAGAUUCCCCCUACCUUACCUAUAUACCUAUAUAUUCCCACCCCCGCGUUACCUGAAAGGAGGGUAAUGUGAAAUUUUCACCUGCUCCCAGUGAUGCAAAGGGUUUCGUUAUCAGUGGGUUAAAUCCAUCUUGGUCUUUCCCUGUGGGCUGCCUGCUACCGCGGGCAAAGCAAGCAGGAUUCCUCCUGUGACAUUAAACGGGCUCCCAAAGCUGGUGGGCUACCGAGCUCACAGCCAUGGCCCACUGCAGCAGCCGUACGGCACGCCGGGGACGGCACCGUGCCACAAGUGUCAGCUCUCGGGUUUCCCUGGGGCUUGUCAAUGCAGAGUUUUACCCCGUAAGGGAUGGGAAGGGAUGCUGAAGCGAGGAGCUGGCGCUCAGGGGAAGCCCUCGUGUAAAACACGUAUCAAAACAGGGGUGCCUGUCGUGGCAGGGCUGACUUGGGAUUUCAGGAUCGCUGGUGCUGCCCAAAAGCUGUUGUGAAAUACGGCAUUGCUUUUGGGUUCCUAACAGAACAAGUGGGUUUUGGUUAGGGCUUGGGCACAUUCCCACUAGAAGAGAAGAACACCCACAAGCUCUCCUGUAUUUUAAACUUACGAGAAAGUCCUCAGUUAAGUUUCAGAAGAGCUGGGCUUUAAAAAUCAAACCACCUGAAUUAUCGUUUUUGGCUUAAUCCAGUAUUUCCCAGCCAGGCCGUGGUCCUCCCGCUCUUUCUUCCCGCUAGGCAAAUGCACCCGCACGCGCUGCUGGAAAUACUUACAUUCCCUGUUCCCCGUAGUGAUUGUAAAAUUCCAUGUGGCUGCAAGCCUGGAUCCAGCCCACGAUCCAGGUCUCCUUCUUGGGAAUAGG